AAGAGUCUAAAAGCGGAGAGAGUGCGUGUUCUGGACUGAGUUAUGGUAUUAAGUUAAAUGUCAUCACUUGAACGCCAUUAACAAAAAGUGCGCGAAGAGACCGCAGCCUUCUGGGAAAUCUGCUGAGGAGUCCCGCAGUACUGGAGAGAGCCACCUUGAACUCUACUUGCAGAUAUUGCACCAGUACCUUUAAGGCGAGAAGCUGAACAAGGGUAAAACAGAGGAGGUGUCUGCUUAUGGGAUGGCUCUGUAAACUCUGCACAGGGGAGAAUGCCAGAUGGAUAAUACAUCAGUGUCUACACAAGACACUAUUCUGCUGUACCCUUGUGAAAGCACCCAUAGAAUAUUUUGGCCAGAUGAAAUCUUCAUUCCUCUUUUCUCUGGGGCAACCGAGGCAAUUUUGAGGAACGCCAGUGAAGAAUUUCUCUGAAAUGGUGCUUUGCUGAACCAUACUCUGGUAAAGUCUGAAAUAAUGGAAAAAUUAGCAGACUAUAUGUACAGCUACACAGCCUACCCCAAAGGCCUUCAGACUGGUCAGGUAGCAGAGGCUUUAGUGAAAAAGCACCCAUGUCUGACAGAACCAGGCAGUCGUAAUGGAUGGAUAGGAUGGAUGUAUAGUCUCAAGUACAAGAUGGGAAAUUACAGAUCAAAGCUCAGAAGUUUUGGAUUCCCUGAGGUUACCUGCAACUCAUGUAAGAACAAGCACCCUGAUGACCAGUCUCCUGCAAAAAAUAUAGAGAAAGCAAGGAAAGGAGAAGUGCUGUUUCUUCCACACUAUCCAGUAGGAGACAGCAAGGAACAGCAAGAGCUGGACCGAUGUCAAUUAAUUGCCAAAUCAAAGAAGAAAGACAGCACAGCCAUCAAGGACUUGAUGUGUAGAACAUUCGCACAUAGAAGACAUGAUGUCGUUACCCUACAGAUGAGCAUCAAAGACCUCAAGAACCUGCCUUGUUUAAUGUCUCGCAAGUCAGUGCAGAGUUUCAGAGAAUCACCACACUGACUCUCGAGCCAAAGUUCUUUUCAGCGUUGGAUCGCUAUUCUCCUAAAUUGCUGUCCCUGUUCCAAGCGAAGAAGGGUGCUGCAGGAGAAAGACAUCGAGCUCAAAUGAGUACUCUUCUUCAGCUGGCAGAGGAGGUGAUGAAGAUAUACCUGCUGCGGAAUCAAGAAGAAUCAAGUGAAGAAUCUCCUGAUGUAGGGAUUGUGAUUGAGGGCACCACUGUCCUCAGCGGUCUUGAGGAUCUUAGCAGAGCCUGUUGCUAUUUGUUGGGACUGACCUAUGCCUUGGAUCUGAGAUACCCCAAGAAUCUCAAAUACAGUUUUGAGUUUUUCCAAAAAGUACUGCUGGAGCUGGAUUCUGGAAACCUUUCCACUAAGGUUCAAAGAUUCAAAAACUACCUGCAUGUGUAGUUUCAAAGUACUGAUCAGAGAAAUCUUGCUGUUGGAAUUUUCCAUUGUCAAUGUAUAUCUGAGGGAAGAGUCCACUGUUCUCUUUAAAUGCAGGUGGAUAUUUCCAGUGGUAAAAUACUAUUUGGACUGGAAUUGAUUACUUGUUUAAAACCCAUCUUCUAUACCAUUUUGAGUUUUUGAAUCACAGCC